AAGUGGAGACGACGAAUCGGACUCGGUCCGAGGCAAAGCCGCGAACGGGUGAGUAACACGUGGGUAACCUGCCCGAUGAUUGGGACGAACCUCGGGAAACCGAGGCUAAUCCAAAUGUGCUCGCACUCCUCGAGGAGUGUGAGGAAAGGAAGCUUCGGCCUCCGCAUCGGGAUGGGCCCGCGGCGCAUUAGCUUGUUGGUGGGGUAAUGGCCUACCAAGGCUUCGAUGCGUAGCUGGUCUGAGAGGACGAAUCAGCCACACUGGGACUGAGACACGGCCCAGACUCCUACGGGAGGCAGCAGUGGGGAAUCUUGCGCAAUGCGCGAAAGCGUGACGCAGCAACGCCGCGUGCGGGAAGACGGCCUUCGGGUUGUAAACCGCUUUCAGUUGGGACGAAGCUUCGUCGGUGAAUAGCCGGCCGGAGUGACGGUACCUUCAGAAGAAGCCCCGGCUAACUACGUG
rnacentral:rRNA from 1 species